GGCAGACGGGAGAGGGGCAGGCGGGGAGCAGCAGCCUUUACUUCCUCCCGCACUGCUGGCCGCGUCUUGGCCGCCCGCUGUGCAGCCGUGGGGCUUCCCUUCCUCCGCUCAUGACGGCGUUACACUCCCAAGCUCUGUCCAGCCCGCCGAUCUCAGGGAGUCAGACAGCAAGCCCACGACCAGUCCGGCACCUCAGCCCGGCCUUCGAGGUUAUCCUGGUCCUAAAUAAACGCACGCCAGGUGCGAGAAGCCCCGUUGCUAGGUCUGCUCAUUCUCACCCCUGCCAUUCCGUUUUCAGCUGGAGACCUUAGCCGAGUCAGCUACCCAAACAUGGGAUCGGAGCUCUACCCAGCGGCCCUACAGUGAUUUCGGGAAGUGCCCUGUGCACAGCGCCUUGGGACCAAGACGCAACGGUGUUCUGUAGUGAUUAACAGUCGCCUUAAACAAUCUAGACGCCAGAGCCACCUCGCCCACCACAGAAUUCCGUCAGCUCUUCAUACAGAGCUACUUGCCAAGCAGCCGCAGAGGGGCGAUAGCAAGGAGGGAAGGAGAGAUACUCCAUAUUGGGUACUCAAGCAUCUUAGUUCCUUGAACAAGAUAGAUAAAACCUGUCCUGAACACUGUUUGCCAGGGGACCCGCUCACACAAACACACAGCCCUCCUCCUGGAGGGAGAAAUAAAUCCAGAGGAAAGAGGAAGUCAGACAGUUGGCCUAGAUGAGUCUCCAUUCACUCUCUUAACAGUUCUUGCCCUCAGAGAAAAGUAAGAUCUGGUUCCUGUCCUCAUACAACCUAGUAGAGAAGAGAUGUUUCGGAAAUAACCUCAGUGCCUAGCAGUAUGUGGGUCUUACUCUGUCUCCCAGGCUGGUGUACACUGGCACAGUCAUGGCUCACUGCAGCCUCAACCUCCUGGGCUCAAGCAAUCCUCCUGCCUCAGCUGCCCAAGACUACAUUGAGUCAGACUAAGGAAGUCAUCUGAUCAACUGCUAAUUGUGCAAGAAAUGCCUGACCUAAUUUUAUCAGAUUUAAUGUUUGAAAAAAAAAAACAAAACCCCAAAGUAGCCCUUCUGCAAGAACUGCUAAAAUCGAAGUUUCUGAACCUAGGAAGUGGCCUAAAUGCUGUAUGUGUUUUCUGUGCAAAAAAUGCUCCGCAGCCAUUUCUGCCUAAAGCCAGGCCUUCACACAGGCUGAAUGUCAUUUUACUCUUCAACUUGUUCAUUUGAGCUGUUGAUUCACAAGGGAGUGGGGUGGGUACCAAUCAGAGCAAUAGCAGUUGCAUGGAUGUGUAUAUGUGAGAGUGUGUGUGUGUGUGUGUGUGUGUGUUGGGGGAAGAUAGUGAAGUCUUUUUUCUUUUUUUGGAGACGGAGUUUCACUCCUGUUGCCCACACUGGAGUGCAAUGGUGCAAUCUUGGCUCACUGCAACCUCUGCCUCCCAGGUUCAAGCGAUUCUCCCUCAGGCUACUGAGUAGCUGGGAUUACAGGCAUGUGCCACCACGCCUAAUUUUGUAUUUUUAGUAGAGACAGGGUUUCUCCAUGUUGGUCAAGCUGGUCUUGAACCCCCAACCCCAGGUGAUCCGCCCUUGUGCAGGGAUUACAGGUGUGAACCACCUUGCCCACCUGAUAGUGAAGUUUUAACUAGCUUUACUCUGAAUCUUCCUGGAGAAGAGAAAGGACUGACCACUAAAAAUACAAGAAGAUUAGCUGGGCCUGGUGGCAGGCGCCUGUAGUCCCAGGUACUUGGGAGGCUGAGGCUAGAGAAUCGCUUGAACCUAGGAGGUGGAGGCUGCAGUGAGCUGAGAUUGCGCCACUGCACUCCAGCCUAGGCAACAGAGUGAGACUCCCUCUCAAAAAAAAAAAAAAAAAAAAAAGGA